rnacentral:tRNA from 1 species
CAAAAUAAAGCUUAAUUAGUUAAGCACCUCACUUACACUGAGGAGAAGUCGUGCAAUUCGAUGUAUUUUGA